CGUUGAUUGACACGUCGGUGGAACGGAGGGCCGAGGGGGUACAACCCCAGGCCCCUAACUGCCUCGCUUCGGACCAACGCAAAUACAACUGACAUCUAUGGGUGAUCCAGGACGUCCAGCAGAAAGGCGUUGGAAAACGGACGACACCCUAGGCCGUCCGGCCUAGGGGAGGCCGGCCGGCCUGACCUUUUUGCACCAUGUGUGCAGCCCUCAAGUAGAAGUUACAACCGCCAUGCAUGCAUGGACAGCUUUGCUUCCAAGUCAAGCCAACCAUAGCUGUGCUUACAAGCUAAGCAACCUUAGCCUUGCUUACAAGGGAGCCCCCACCCCUCAUUCAGCACACACCAUUUGGAGAGGAGAAGAGUCCAAGCAAGAUGUAGUCCCACUUAGUAGAAUAGGGAGAGUGUGAGUUGAGAGUCUUGGCAAAAGCCAAAGUAAAGGAGCGGUGCCGAGUUCUCUCGGCCUUACUCCAUUUUCUAAGCCACCUUGGAGGAAUGGAAUAUCUUCGGAGUGAAGUUCCUCGUCUCUCGUUGGUAUCUUGCUAGUAUCUCAUCUCAGCGGGAUCCCUAGUCUACGUAAGUAGCAAGUUCUACUUAUUUGAGAGUGCUUUCUGUCUUGUCAGGAGGCAGGAGUACGUAACUCGAUAGUGUUAGGCGUGGUGCCUAGACUUAGUUAGUUACAUAGGGUUGAGUUCCACCCCACGGAACCGUUCUGGUAGGCGGCAGGUGGUGAUAGCCCUGUCCAUCCCUCGUAGUCCACCACGUUUGGGUGUUUUCAUAGCAGUAGUUGUAGGUUGCUGUUGGACUCCCCUCUCACCCCUUUCUGAAGUCCUUCCUCUUCCAGCCGCCGAAGCAGAUCAAGAUAGUUUAGUUGCAAGUCCUCUGGGUAAUGAGUUGGCUAACCGACGUUAUACCCUCUACCCACUUACCUCCCUUCCCCUAGUGGGUCCGAUUGAACUAGUUCUAGGUUUGGUCGAAGAUUUACCGUUCUUUGGAUUCGAUAUCCCAAGUAUACUCCCUGGUGAAAGAUACAAUCUAUCUCUGUGCGCUUGCGGAGUAAUUCGUUUAGGCUAAGGAGUGCCAACAACAUCACGUCAUCGCCGACCACCACCCAACAACAAGAUCGGGUGGUCGGCGCUGGUUCCUCGGCCGACUGAUCCGCGCGAUGGCGCGGGAUCUCCUCAACGACCUCCUCCGUUGCCUCCGGGCCCCUCCCCUAUGGCGUACGACCUCCAGAAGGCGUCAGCAACAGUCCCGGCGACGCCCGGGGAAUUACCGAUGCCCCGAUCUCCUUCUUCUGUGGACUCUGCCGCACAGAUGGCACCUCAGCGCUUGCCAUCGCCCGCUCCUGGCCGCUCGACUCGUCCGGACGGGUCCGCCCUGUCUCCUCCGGCCUGCAGUGAGCAGUUAACGCCACAAUUCGGAAGCAAGAAGACAAGUGAACCUAAGAUGUGUGCCGUCAGACUAACCUUGGCGCGCGGUGUGUCUUCACGACGUACUUCUGUGCCGCUAUUGACUGCACACCACCAACACGAGAAUUGCUGCCACGGUGCGGCGUCCUUCCACACUCCAUCAAUCUUGCCGACAUUUUGGGCAGUGCCUCUGGCUCUUCAGCCGGGCUCUUACUCCAACCUUGGGCUGCAGCUGCGCUCUCUUCCGGAGUCGCCCCUGGCACAGGCGACCCCUUGCCACUCUCAGGGGCUACCUCCUCUACAACAGCAGGGUGCCUCCGGUCAUCCAGGUGCUCUUGACCUGCCGAUAUUGGCCUCCGGUCCUCACCAACUGCAUCUGACGACGACACCACCCGACAGCGUUUCUCUCCAACCUUUUGGGAAGUGACAUCCUUCGCCGACCGCCGUCGAGAUGACACUGACCCCGCAUCCAGCAUGGCACCAAUGUCCCCUUGGGAAGAAGACGAGGAUAAGCUCCCGCUCCAACCUGGCCCCACCUUCUUGGGCUCAUCACCAGAGUGACCGCGGGCCAGCGGCAACUCCCUCGUAAGAUGUAUCCCCGCGGUGGGCAGGACGGAGUAAUACACCUCGGACCCCUGAUAAACCAGAAAAAGGCAGAUGUAAGGAGUGAUAAUGGCAGACAAGAACAGUCUAAUGGCGACUCGCAAGAACAUACCGCAGGGUGAGGACGAUGACUAUUAUAUCCAAGCGACCUCCCACAACUACGGAGCCGGAUGCUUGGUGCAAAUAAUCUCCUAGCUCGAUCUGCGGGCUCGUCAUGAGUAAGCCACCCAUCUCAUUCACGACUACUACACCCUUCAAAGAAUUCCCAAGCUCGAUGCUCCCUCUGUUUCAACGGCUGGAAGCGCAUGCCAAGGAAACUCAAGGCCACAGUGACGCCAUCCAGAUCUUUCUCCGCCAGCCUCCCCAGAAGAUCUCGCACCUGAUCCAUCUCAAAUUCCAUUGGAGUGUCCAACCAGCGCGAUGAUGGAACGGGGGCAGUAUCGACGUCCUCCGGAAGCCGCUCAUAUGGAUCCUGGACAUAAAACCAUUGGGAUUUGCACAAGACGCCCUGAGUCCACAAAUCAAGAUUAAUAUACUGGUUCCUUCUAUCCUCACAAAGCACAAACUGGUAGCCGCCCACAACUUUUUGGGCUCCAGCCCCAGAGCCAAGUACCAGCUGAUAAAAGUAACACCACAAGUUAAAAUGUGGUUCCACACCCAAAAAUGCCUCGCAAAGUUUGACAAAAAGCACGGCUUCUAGUAUACUAUUUGGGGUCAGGUUGUACAGCGGAAUCCGAUAAUAGGAGAGGAGUUGAGCAAAACCAAUCCAGUGCUGGCAAACCAAAUUUGCGCUGAUGGAAAGCAAGGAAGGUAAUGAUUUCACCUGGCAUUGGCAUCGGAAACACUUCCCUCCCCGGCACACGAUAGCUGGAGAUCUCCUGGUCCGGCAAGAAACCUUCUUCGAUGAGUUCCUCCAACUCCCCCUCCGUGGUCAUCAUCGGCACCCACUCCGUUGUCCGCCUUGCCACAAGAGCACGCUGCUCUUCCUUUGCCUUGGCAAGCGUGGUGGUUUUCGCCUUCUUUGACAUCCUCGACUUCGGCGCCAUCGGCUCCCCCGCCACAACGACACUGGAUCUUGGUUUGGGGAGGAAAUGUGAGUGGAACCUCAAUCACCACACUCAAAUCACUGGAGAUAUUCGGUUGCGGAUCAGAAGAUGAUGGAUGAGAGAUGAGGAGUCGAUGAAUAAUCACCUCACCACCGUGGUUCCUUCUCUUAUAAGGCAAGUAGUUUUGGGAACCGCACCGCCUUCGCUUCGAACGCUCCGUCUUCCCCGGGUGGCCCGCGGCCCAUUAAGCCAAGGCCCUAACAGAAGGGGAAUCGCCAGGGCUACGUGGCCGCCCACGAUCAGCGGGCGGUUACCAUCUACGGUGCAGCAGAAUUACAAGAUUGCCCUCGCGCCAAGCGCAGGUACUGACAAGUACCCAAGAAACUGCGGAAUUUUAUCGAAGGCCCCCUCGUCGAUCUCAGGGAAUUUGCACAGGUUUCUUAUAGAAGACUUUCAAGAUCAAAGGAUGGUUCUCGUAUAAACCCUAGCACCAUGUGUCUCCAACACCUAUUGCCAGGCUCGGGGACUAAGUGGGCACACUUCACCUUGUGGUGAGUGUGCUAGAUUUGUUCAAGAUUAUGAAGACUACAAGAUGGCUCUGCGGUAUUCUAAACCUUGGCACCAUUUGUCUACGCCACCUGCUACCAGGCUCGGGGACUAAGUGGGCACACUUCACAUUGCGGUGAAUGCGCCUCCACAGAGCUGCUGAUGAUUUACUACAGGAUGGAUAUCACCAAGAUUACAAGGGUGUUCUCAUGUUUUUCAGUGAACGUGGGCACACUUGUGGAAAGAACAGGUUCUUCAAAAAAAUUUCGAUUCAAGACCACCUUACACCUUCUUCGACGACAUCUGCGAGCUCUGAGAUUGACCGACGUCUUAGAGCUCGGCAUAGCGGUAUGAAGAUUUGCCGACCUCGCCACACCGCCUGAAGUAUCUAUGAAGACAACCUACCGACCUCUCUGGAGCUCGGGCCACCGGUCGCUCACUCGCCGACCUUCAACGGCAGGACGAGGUCUCGACGGGACAGCUCAGGACCUCGACGCCUUGACGCCAACCUCCCGACGUCACUCGACGACCUCGGCUGGAUGACGCUGCUUGAAGCCUACAAGGUGCUCGGGGACUAGCUGUGGGGAAAUGGCCCCUAGGACCCCACGCCGACCUCGGAGGACCGAGCCCUGCCAGGCCAACCUCGGCUGACAAAGAUGAAGAUCACCGACCUCUCGAGGCUGAGCCCGCUAGGGCGACCUGGCCCGACGAGGAGGUCGAGUGCCGAUCUCUCCUAGGCCGAGCCCACUAGGGCGACCUGGCACAGGAGGGAGGAUUACGGGCCAAGGCAUCAACUGCCGCCCCCGCGUGAUACCCGGAGGAUAUCCCGAAGACGACGAUCUGAUAGGAUAGACCUCAAUCCCGCAAUAUUGUAACAGAUUAUAUCUUUCCUUAGAUAGAAGGUAGAAGAUCGGAUAUGUAACCCUACCCCCUGGCUAUAUAAGGCUGGUAGGGGACCCCCUCUUUUCUCAUGUUCUCUCCUUGAGGCAUAGCCAAUACAGAAAGCAAAGCACAGGAUGUAGGGUAUUACGUCACCUCGACGGCCCGAACCUAGAUAGAUCGUGUGUCUUGUGUCCUUUGCAACCUUCUCGAUCUCGGUCUUGUGCACCCCUCGACAAAUCUACCAUCGUGGGCAACCCCCUCGGUGGACUGCUGGCAAUAUCUCGUCGACAGUAAUUCAUGGCGAAAAACUCCAAAGAGCAAUAGAAAGAUCGCUAAAUAUUCUUGAAGCCAAAGCUAGUGGAAUGUUCAAGCCCGACAGAGAGAGAGAUGAACUGUCAGAUAUCAUUGGGACCGAUGAGCACGCUGGUCGAACAAGAGGCAAAGGGAACAUUCUGUGGAAGUUUAGUUUCCCUGAGGACAUAGGUAUGUAUAGAACCCAAAAGAGAAAGAGGGAAAUGGAGGCAGAGCAUAUCCGCACGUUGCAGCAAUAUGAUGUCGAGUCACGGCAACUGAUGCUUGCAACGCAAAAGCAAAAAGAAGAAUUGCAAGUGAUAAUGCAAGAAGAAAUCAAAAGGCAAGUGCAGACACAAUUGAGUUCCGUGGGGUUUACUAAUACAUCAGCUCUGGGUACCCAGUCCCAUCAAGUGAAAAGCAGUUGUGCUUCCAUGCAAUAGCCAAGUCUAGAUGAUACGGCUCAGCGCUUCCCUAUGGAUGACAUCACUAGUCAUUUUACAACAUGUGAGCUGCACAUUCAAAAGGAUGAUGGCACAGUGAUGGUGGCUAUUGGUAUUGUGAGUCCUAUCGAUCAUACCAACACACCAAGAAUCCACGGCGCAGUAAUACCAUCUGGAUAUGCUGCCGUCUCGGUGGAUAAAGUUACCAGAGGUUACAACGAUCUGCCUCUUCACAUUCCUGGAGGUGAUGAUAUCAGGACUCUAGGAGAAGCAGAGAAGACAUUCAUUGCAUGGCGCAAACGCUACAUUGUUAUUCCUGGGAUGCCGAAGCCAGAGCUGCCUCCUGCAUUACCUCAGCAAAGGUACAGAUGAAAGUGAAUGAAAUUUUUAUUCAUUAGUUUUCUAUGGGCGCUUAAAUAAUAGUUUUUUUCUGUACUCACACAGUGGGGCCCCCAUAAACCGUAGUCCAAAGCUCGGCUCCCCAGACCAUCACCACACUUCUCCGGGCGGUGGUUACGAUGGGGUAGAUGACGCAGCGACAUCCCUAGCAUCUCCAAGGCAGUCGCCACCGCCGCCACCACCGCCUCCAGGGUGGCGUUCCCCAGCACCGGCCGCCUUGUCCCAGGCAAAGGUGCCAUCACCGACUCGGUCUCCAAUGCCUUCUCCCAUGACAUAGGCAGCUUCAAAGAAGAGAAAUGUCUCCUCCCAGGUGAAGACGGUCAAGAAAUUUACGAAGAAAAUAACAAAGCGCCAACCCAAAAAAUUGCCUGGUGAAAUGAGUAUGGAGGAAUUAGAUGCUUCGGUUAAAGAAAUAUGCAAUAAAUUCGUUGCACGAGACGAUGUGAGGAAGAAGGCAUUGGCGGAUGCUGGCAAGCCGUUCUUCCUACCUCCAGAUGAGUUAAGGGCAUGGUCGUCUAUUUGCUGUCUCUAUGUUGGUGUUUUUGCAGAAAACCCCUCUGCCGGGCGAGUAGACGGUCACCUCGUCGCCUCGUGAGGCGAUGGCGGGGGCUCGUGCUCCGAGGGCUUGGGGACGGCUCCGACUGCAUUGUACGGCACUGCUUCAUCUCGUCGAUGCCUGCUCGGAUCCGCUGCUCCACACUUCCGCGCGCGCGCAAUCUGUGGAUGGAGGCAAGUCGCGCGCCCUUUUAUCCCAUCCCCUUCCCCUCCACCAAAUCCCACCCACAAACUGCAGCGGCGGCAAGUUCAGCAUUCCGUGGCGGCAGCGUGGAAGCUCCUAGCUGCGUUCGUGGCGUGCGAGCAGGAAACCGCGACGGCACUGGAGGCGCGGGGCGGGAAGACCACGGCGGCGUCACCUGGGCGGAGCAAGCGCCAGCGGCGUGGGACCGGUAGCUCGCGACGGCGCAGGAAAGUCAGUGAGUCAUGCAGGCUGCUCGAGCUGCCUCACGAGCUCACUGAACACAGCCGAGGGAGAACCUUGGCAUUGUAACCUGACAAGGAGCUUGAAUGAGCAAAGGACCUUGGUGGCAGUACCUGUUUUUGUGAAGCCUUCCAGAUUCUUGAGAUGGCAGUGCAUGUUUUUGUAAAAUGUUUUUGAGACGGCAGUACCUGUUCUUGUGAAGCAUUCCACAAUCUUGAGAUGGUAGGAUAACUAUAUGUGUGAAAUAUUUCAGUUAAUCUUGAAAUGGUAGUACUUGUUUUGUGAAGUUAAUUUUGUGAAAUGUUUAAGUUAGAAACCUUCAAAUGCGAAUUAUUUGGAUAUAUUGUUCAUUCUCUCAUGUAUGCAACACAAUGGCUACAAAGAUCAAAUUAUGCACUA